GGAUUAGAUACCCUGGUAGUCCACGCCCUAAACGAUGUACACUAGUUGUUGCUAUACUAGAUAUGGCAGUAAUGCAGUUAACACAUUAAGUGUACCGCCUGGGGAGUACGGUCGCAAGAUUAAAACUCAAAGGAAUAGACGGGGACCCGCACAAGCGGUGGAGCAUGUGGUUUAAUUCGACAAUACGCGAAGAACCUUACCUGGACUUGACAUAGUAAGAAUAUUUAAGAGAUUAGAUAGUGUCUGCUUGCAGAAACUUGCAUACAGGUGCUGCACGGCUGUCGUCAGCUCGUGCCG
rnacentral:rRNA from 1 species